AGCUAGCUAGCUAUUUAAACAGUUUAAUACAAGGCAGGAUUAGCUGGGAGACUUCUGCUAUACCAGGGCACACUUCCAACUUUGCGUGGAAUACCUGCAGAACAGGGAAAUGGAAGUAGUUCUUUUGGAGAUUAUGGUGAACUUGUGUGUGUUGAAGUAGUGUUUUGCCAUUGAGAACAA